UACGAAGGGGGCUAGCGUUGCUCGGAAUCACUGGGCGUAAAGGGUGCGUAGGCGGGUCUUUAAGUCAGGGGUGAAAUCCUGGAGCUCAACUCCAGAACUGCCUUUGAUACUGAGGAUCUUGAGUACGGGAGAGGUGAGUGGAACUGCGAGUGUAGAGGUGAAAUUCGUAGAUAUUCGCAAGAACACCAGUGGCGAAGGCGGCUCACUGGCCCGUAACUGACGCUGAGACACGAAAGCCAGGGGAGCAAACGGG
rnacentral:rRNA from 1 species